rnacentral:rRNA from 1 species
UACGUAUGGUGCAAGCGUUAUCCGGAAUGACUGGGUGUAAAGAGAGCGUAGACGGUUGUUCAAGUCUGAUGUGAAAGCCCUCGGCUUAACUGGGGGAGUGCAUUGGAAACUGAAGGACUAGAGUAUCGGAGAGGCAAGUGGAAUUCCUAGUGUAGCGGUGAAAUGCGUAGAUAUUAGGAGGAACACCGGUGGCGAAGGCGGCCUGCUGGACUGUGACUGACGUUGAGGCCCGAAGGCGUGGGGAGCAAACAGG